CCUACGGGAGGCAGCAGUGGGGAAUAUUGGACAAUGGGCGCAAGCCUGAUCCAGCCAUGCCGCGUGAGUGAUGAAGGCCUUAGGGUUGUAAAGCUCUUUUGUCCGGGACGAUAAUGACGGUACCGGAAGAAUAAGCCCCGGCUAACUUCGUGCCAGCAGCCGCGGUAAUACGAAGGGGGCUAGCGUUGCUCGGAAUCACUGGGCGUAAAGGGCGCGUAGGCGGCCAUUCAAGUCGGGGGUGAAAGCCUGUGGCUCAACCACUGAAUUGCCUUCGAUACUGUUUGGCUUGAGUAUAGUAGAGGUCAGUGGAACUGCGAGUGUAGAGGUGAAAUUCGUAGAUAUUCGCAAGAACACCAGUGGCGAAGGCGGCUGACUGGACCAUUACUGACGCUGAGGCGCGAAAGCGUGGGGAGCAAACAGGAUUAGAUACCCUGGUAG
rnacentral:rRNA from 1 species